AUUUCCGGCUUUCGAUCUAUAUCAACAUUGAUGUUGAACAAGCAAAGGACUUCAGUCGUUGUGGUUCUACUCACAUUAUUCGAAGUCAAUUCCACGGAUGGAAUCCUGCGACAUUUUGAAAGUAUGAUCAGAAUGCUUGUCCACUCCAACACACCAAUAACGCUGUGGAGACACCCGCUCUGUGUUAUGGAUCUCGACUCAAUCGUACAGGAAGCAAUUUGCAGCGCAAGCGCGGAGACCAUUCUGGAAAUCCAGCAUGAAAAUAUACAGAAUUCGUUUCCGGGAAAGAGUAGACAUGAACUCCAUCAAUAUCUCAAAGAUCAGGUGAUAGCUUCAAGGUUUCGCUCCUACAGCCAGCACUUUUACAGGACAUCAAAAAUUCUUUCUGACCCCACAGUGACGUCCCAG